UUUUGUUAAGUGGUUAGUGAUUACAAUCCUUUCUUAUGUGCAAAAUGUCUUAUUCCUACAUGAAAAAUAUUAUCUAAACAGUAUUAUAGUCUUAAACAGCUCUUCUUACUUUGUCUUAGGGAAAAUGUUCUCAUGAAAUGAAAAGUCCUUCUUCAGAUCAAUAAGUGUAAGAUCAGAGAGGCAAUGGGUCAGGAAAAUCAGUAUGAAGGAUGAAAAGUGGGGAGGGAGACACUGAGGGACAGAGGAAAGGAGAAAAGACCAAACUGCCAUUUGGCUGUGUAAAAAGUUUAGGGCAACUGGCUUCUGGGUAACUGGAACUGAACUCUCAACACUGGGGCUGAUUAACAAUUGUAUCACUACUCUCCCCUCCCCAGAGACUACUCCACUGGGCAUCUCUAUUAUUAGGGCUCUUCAAACUAGUAUUCUCAGCGUUAUCUCAAGGUGAUAUUCACAUGAGCUACUUUCAAAGUGCCUGAAGUAUGUUGCAACUUCUGUUAUUUACUACUUAUAAUGUAAGAAAUCAAACUCUACAGGAUCACAAUUAAGGAAGAAAUGGGGGCAGUGAGAGUUAGGAAAGACAUUAAAUUUAGAAACUACUAAAGGGAAAAUUUAGCUCAGUGGCCUAAGGAUGUUUUGAAUUGCUAAAUACUGUAGGAUGAGGCAACUGUCUUUUAGCCAGAGGCAAAGGGCUUUAAGUGGGCCUAAAAGCAGGGAGACUGCCAACCAGGAGGAGAAGGCAAAAACAGGACUGGCAGAUAGAACUGAGGCUAGCUGAUUGUAUUAGUGAAGAGGCAGUAGUUCUCGCAAGGAAACUGGCAUCGUUGGCGUUGAUUCAAGUUGAGAAGCAAGCCAGAAUCUGAGUUGGAAAUCUGAAACUCUCAUAGACUUGAAGAGCAUUUUGAUCAAUAUCUCUCCUCUAUUCUGCUAUUAUAGGAAGUCUGUCUCUGUUGGUUUGAUUAUUUAGCUUUCAUCACCACCCAAAUAGCAAUACCAGAAUUGUUCACAAAUCUGUAUUUAACAUUUUCUGUGUAUUUUUUCUCUUUAUUCUUAUUUGACUAUAUUCUUCUAUCAGUAGUAACGCAAUUUUUCAGUUCCUAUCUCGAAGUACAUAACAUUUGUUUUUCGAUUCUUUCCUUUUUCUUUUCCCCUAUCCUGGUAGAAACCCUUCUCAGGCAGGAAGAGUGAAAUUGCUCAGUAACUGGGGAAGGCAGCUUUCUGCCCAAGUGGGUGUUUUGUUUUGAGAUACCCUCAAGCAAGAAUUCUGUAACAGACACGAAGAAGUCUCAAGGCAGAUCUAUUGAAUAGUAACAUUCAAACCUUCUUCCGUGAGGAAUUCAUACACAUACUGCUGUUGUUUUCAUUUUGAGUGACACUGUGAUGAACUGGAAAGAACAAAAGCUCUUCUGCCGCGCAGAGCCAAGAUUGAAUCCUGACUCUCCUGUUUUUGCUCUCGUAAACUUGAGCAAAUGAUUUCACCUCUGGAGUAUCAAUUUUUCCUUCUGUAAAAGUGAGAUGCUGUCCAUUUUGGAGAACCGUUAGCAUGAGGUAAUGGUCCUCUGCUCCAGCUACACCAAUUCUUGAAGGUCUCAUUUCACCAUGGAAACUAUCAUCUGUAUUUUCUUCCAACUUAUCUGGAGUUGAUCCCCAACUCUCAAGUCCUGGAACAGAGAGAAAAGAACACUGAAUAUGUUCAUCGUUUUGAUUUUGAAACCAAAAAUUUAUUAAAAGUGACAAAGAGGUUGAAGGAAAUCCCUAUAAUGCUUUCUUUCAUCAUUUCCCAAUGUGCGAUCAGUACAAAGCUAGGCCUUCUGUAUAUAUCCUUUAUUAUCCUGAUAAGAAGUUACUUUUAUACCAAUUUUUAAGGACAAAAAACAGAAGUUUAGCGAUAUUAAGUAGUAAAGUCAUCUCUCAGUAUCCGUGCGGGGACUGGUUCCAGGACCCCCAGGGAUAUCAAAAUCCAUACAAACUGAAUUACCUUACAUAAAAUGGUGUAGUAUAUGGAUAUAACCUAUGCACAGGUUUUCAUCUAUGCACACAUUCCCAUGUAUUUCAAACAACCUUUGAUUACUUAUAAUACCUAAUACAGUACCUGUACAUCACUUCAUUCUUGUGGGUUCAACGUAGUUCAGUGCAUGUCAAUUUUAAGUUUUGCUGUUUGAUACUUUGUGGAAUUUUUACCUAUAUAUUUUUCACUCACAGUUGGUUGAAUCUAUGGAUAUGAAACACACAAAUACAAGGGCUAAUUGUGUGUCCAGAGACACGAAAGAGAACAUUAUAGAUACAGGAUGAAGGCCAGGUUUGCUCAAUCUCAUGGUGCUGUGUCUUAGAGCAAAUAGUAUUCUCAUGUUUCCUGGUCUCACCUUUCAUUGCAAAAGAGUCUCCAUUUUCAGAAGCAACCUGGCAUUUUCAUGAAAGCUACCCUGAUGUGCUCUGUCCUCCCUAGUUGUCAAAACCUUUUUCCUCCAGGUUCUGUAAGCCUGAGAGCACUGACUUGUUAAAUUACAAAUAGUUAUAUAGGGAACCAGAUUAAUACACAGCAGCCAGAUUCAUACACAGCAGCAUUUUAGUAAUGAAUUUGGGAAAAACUAAAAAUUUUCAGGAACAUGCUGGAAUGUCAGGCACUGUGACCAGAUCCUUGGAAGGUAUUUGGGGGCAAGGAUAUUUACUGGAAACCCAUCAAAGGCAGAAAAAGCUGCUUUUUGAAAUGCGUAUAAUCUAAUCUUUUCUAGUGACAGAAUGACAAUUUCCAUCCAAUGUUUGUGGUAGUAGAAGAAUUGCUUUAUUUAGCAGGAAAGAGGGUAUGGAUGGUAAUGGUUGAUGUCUCUGUGUUUAACAUGUAGAUUGAACAGGAAGUGUGAACUAUUAGAAGUAGAAGGCAGAUGGAAGGACAUGACAAUUGAAUGAAAUGUCAGAAAGAAAAUGAAUGCACUAGAUUUUCUUUUCACAGAGUAACAGUUUCCUUUCCAUGACAAGAGACACAGGGACAUGCUUAUAGAUGACAAAGCAAUUUUCUUCAAUUUACGGUAUUUCUUUAGUGCAGGGCUGUCCAAUAGAAUAUCUGUAAUAAUGGAACAUUUUUAUUUCUCAGCUGUCUAAUAAAAUACCCACUAGCUACAUAUGGCUAUUAAGAACUUGAAAUGUAGCAAGUGCUAUUAAGGAGCUAAUGCUUUUAAAUUUUUAAUUAAUUUAAAUGUAAAUAGCCUCAUAUUGGACACUGAAGCAGGCAAAAUAGGCAUUGAAGCCAUUUCUCCACCUUUCCUGUCAAAUUUAAUAACAUUGAGUUUUGGUUACGUUUUAUUUUUUUAAGUAUUAUCAAGAAUUUGAAGCCAUAUUGCUGGUAGUAUAAGCUAGCUUACUCAGGUGAGAAGUCUGAAGUAAGUGAUAUGGAUCAGCCUUUCAAGCUUUGGUCCAUAAUGUGUGCUAUCACAAAUAAUGUUAUUGAAAUAAAAGUAAUUUCACAAAUAUGUGUUAAUAGUAUCUGUCCAAAUACACAAAUGAAAAUCAUUUAUAUAAAAUAGCAUGGGAUGUUAACAAGUUAAAGUAAAAAUUAGUUAAGAUGAUGGUUCCUUUUGUGCCAUAGGAGAAUGCACUAUCUGGAAAAAACAUCAGCCAGUGACAUGAACCUCCUUCCUUAGUGGUUGCAUAUUGAGAGGAAAGGAGGAACAAUAAAAAGAAAGGAGAGAAUAUAAUUCAGGCUUUUCAAACUCAGUUAUCCUAGGGCCUAGGCAAAGUGUUAAUAUGAGAUGUAUGAAUCCAUGAUAAGUGUGCCCCUCCCUCCCCCAAACUCCCAUCCCCACCACUCCAAUGUAUUCUGGUCUUCUGGUUACACCAGGGGACCAUCUGCUCAGUCAAUCUGCCCUCACUACCUCACCACUGCCCCAGUCCACCUGAGGUAGCCACCUGGCUUCUUUCAUGAAUGUUUCAACAGCACUGUACUAAACGAUUUCUAUAGUCUUCUUUAGUCCUGGCACCUUUUGAUUCUAGGAUUAUAUAGUCAAUAUCCUCAAUGGAGGAAAAAGGAGUCCUGCUUGAAUCAAAAUGCUAAAUCUUGGAGUUUUGAUGCAUAAGGACAACUUUAUAACUGCUAUAACCACUUAUGAAUAGAGGCUUUAGAGAUUGUUAUAUGCAUUUUUUUUCCUAUGUGAAGUACUAUUCACUGUUUAUUUGCACACCAAGUUAGAAUCUCUAAAUUAAGGGAACUAACUAGUAGUAUGUUUACCUUAUUUAUUUUACAUAUUACCACAAAAUAUCUACCUACCACCAGACUAGGAACAAAAUAGGUGCUCCAUAAACAUUUAAUAAGUGAAUGGUACAGAGAUUCCUAUAAUAAGCACAAUCAAACAUAUUUGUCUGCACAGUAAAGAGUUACUACUCAACAUCUUCAGGCUGAAAAACUUCUGAAUCCUUUAACUGUGACAGUGUCUGACAGCAUAGCGGUCAUUUCAUUUUGUACUUUUGUUCACUUUUAAUGUCAGACCCCCCAAAAAACAUGGCAAUAGUUAAAGUCAAUGAUAAGAAUUUAUACCUGCUGGUUAUGAAUCCUUAGAGAGUGGCCAUGGAAUGCUUUCUCACCCACAAACUUAACUCUGUCUCCUUCCCUCAACUCCCAAAACUUGGCAAUUUUCAGCCAUUAGUUGAUAAUAUGUGCUGGGAUGGUUUCUUUCUGUUUAUUCUGCUUAGGAACUAUGAGCUUUAUGGAUCUGUAGGUUUACAGUUUUCAACAAAUAUGGGAAUUUUGUCUAUUAUUUCUGUCCUCUGUUCUCCCUCUUUUUCAUUCUGGGUCUCCAGUUACCUAUAUUGUCCCACAGAGUAUUAAAGCUUUGUUUCUGUUUUUUAGUUAUUAUUUUAUCUGUGCUUCAUUUUAGAUAGCUUCUGUUGCUAUAGCUUUAAAUCUACUGAUCUUUUCUUCUGAAAUACAUUACUUCCCACUGUUAAUUUUACCCAGCGAAUUCCUCAUUUCAGAUAUUUAAUUUUCAUCUCUAGAAGUUCCAUUUGUUUCUCUUUUACAUUUUCUAUUUGUGUCUCAUAAUUUUUAUGUUUUCUUUUAUAUCCUUGAGGAUAUGGAGCAUAUUCUUAAUAGAUAUUUUAAAGUUCUUGUCACCGGUUUUAUAAUCUCGUUCAUUCCUAGGAUUGUUUGUCUCUAUUGAGUGACUCUUCCCAGUGCCAAACAUUGUGAACUUUAAUUUGCUGAGAGCCAGAUUUUGUUGAAUCCCUUUAAAGAGUUUUAGGUUUUGGCCACUUUUUAGAACUUUGGUCUUUUGAAGCUUCUUUCUAAGUUAUUUUAGGAAAGGUCUAGAAUAAAAUUUACUCUGGGCUACUUUGACUCCAUUUCUAAGAUGUGGGCCCUUCUGUGAAAUUUACUGGACGUUUUUUGUAUUCAAUAAGGCACCUCUACUCUGGCUAAUCGGAAUUCAAAAAACUACCAGUUCUGUGCGAGUUCUGCGAAGUGUUCAUCUUACAUAAUUUUUCUCUUCCUGGAAGAUAUUUCUAGUUUUGACUCAUGGGACUUCAGAGUACUCAUGCAUAUUUGGUGUUCAGCCAAAGAAUUAUAAGGAUCUCUAGUCAGAUUUUGGAGGUCUUUCUCCAUUUAGUUCCUUUAUCUCAGGUACUUUGCCCCACAGAUUCUAACUGCUGCAGCCUCCCCAAACUGGGAUAUCUGUCCCCCCAAUUCAAUGAGAUUCCCAGGCUUAUUCUGGUUUCCUCAUUACUUUGCUGCAGCUUGAAAAGUAC